CACGCCAUUUCGGUAUAAAAAUCUUUUUGGGAGCGGCUGACGUUUAUAGAUUUUAACGUCUUCUUUCAACAUAUUUUCAUAUAAUAUAGUAUAGUACUUUUGCAUAGGGAGAUCAAAGAUGGGAGAAGAUUUUAAUGGAGAUCGAGAAAGACAAGAUAGAGAUAAGGACCGUGAUAGGGACAGAGAUCGUGAUAGGAGACACAGAUCACGUAGUAGGGAACGUAGGAAGAGAUCAAGGUCUCGUUCCAAAGACCGUAGAGACCGUAAGAGAAGCAGUUCUCCUAAAAAAAGUCGUAGUUCUAGAAGGAGAAAGCCAUCCUUAUAUUGGGAUGUACCACCACCUGGAUUUGAACAUAUUACACCUUUGCAGUAUAAAGCAAUGCAAGCUGCUGGCCAAAUACCUGCAAAUAUUGUAGCAGAUACUCCUCAAGCUGCUGUCCCUGUUGUUGGUAGUACGAUCACUCGUCAAGCAAGAAGAUUAUAUGUUGGUAAUAUUCCAUUUGGAGUCACGGAAGAAGAGAUGAUGGAAUUUUUCAAUCAACAGAUGCAUUUAUCAGGCCUUGCACAAGCUGCAGGGAAUCCAGUCCUUGCUUGUCAGAUCAAUCUAGAUAAGAACUUUGCUUUCUUGGAGUUUCGUUCAAUAGAUGAAACUACACAAGCUAUGGCCUUCGAUGGGAUUAAUUUUAAAGGACAAAGUUUAAAAAUAAGAAGACCUCACGAUUAUCAACCAAUGCCAGGAAUGACAGAUAAUCCAAGCAUGAACGUGCCAGGUACGGUUCCUGAUUCCCCACACAAGAUUUUCAUUGGUGGUCUACCGAAUUAUUUGAAUGAGGAACAGGUAAAGGAGCUACUGAUGAGUUUUGGUCAACUGAGAGCUUUCAAUUUAGUAAAGGACUCAGCAACAGGAUUAUCAAAAGGUUACGCCUUUUGCGAAUAUGUUGAUGUGUCCAUGACGGAUCAAGCUAUUGCUGGAUUAAAUGGUAUGCAACUAGGAGACAAGAAGUUGAUCGUACAACGAGCUAGUGUCGGUGCAAAGAAUCCUAUGAUAGGAGCACAAGCCCCUGUACAAAUUCAAGUUCCUGGUCUGUCUAUGGUAGGCACAAGUGGACCUGCAACGGAGGUACUUUGCUUAUUAAAUAUGGUUACACCAGAAGAAUUAAUGGAAGAAGAGGAAUAUGAAGAUAUUUUAGAAGAUAUCAAGGAAGAAUGCAACAAAUAUGGUGUUGUUCGAUCUGUAGAAAUACCAAGACCUAUCGAAGGUGUUGAUGUUCCAGGAUGUGGAAAAGUAUUCGUUGAGUUUAACAGCGUUAUCGAUUGCCAAAAAGCACAACAGACUUUGACAGGACGUAAAUUUAAUAACCGUGUAGUAGUUACAUCAUAUUUUGAUCCUGAUAAAUAUCAUCGUAGAGAAUUUUAGAUUGUAGAUUCUUCUUUCUUAUCAAUUAAUGAUUAACUAUAUUGUAUAAUACAUAUAAGUGAAUAAUCUGAUAUGUCUUAAAGGUUCAUUUCCUUAAGAGAUUAUUGUAAUUCUUUAUUAACAAGAAAAUGCAAUAUAAUUAAUGAUACGUGGAA
rnacentral:misc_RNA from 1 species